CGGUGUGUAUUUGCAUUGGCAAGUCAUAACUUUGAGCCACCUUCAAAGCAUGCAGAAAGAUAUAAUCAAUGAAGCUCUUGUUUGAGAUUCGGAUGGGAUGCCCAGCACAUAUAACAUCGUUAAGGCCCUCCUCAGCCUCCGUUUCGGUAACUUCCGUAUUAAUUGCAAGCCCGCUGCGAUAUGCUACUAUACUUUUAAAUGCAAGAACUUCAUCUGCUACUGACUUCAACUCCUCCGUGAAAAUCUCCAUGAAUGAUCCCAAUGUCCAUG
rnacentral:misc_RNA from 1 species